GCCGAUAUAGCUCAGUUGGUCAGAGCAGCUGAUUUGUAAUCAGCAGGUCGCGGGUUCGAAUCCCCCUAUCGGCUCCA
rnacentral:tRNA from 4 species